GACUCAAAUUCUUGUUUCAGAAUGAAUACACAUGCAUGUUUGGUAAAGAAUUUAUUUGCCAAACAUUUUCUCAUCUCUAAAAGGAAGUUCAAAGACCUGUAUCAACUUUGACAAGCGGAGCUGUUAAGGGUUUUUUUUUUUAAACAAUAUACAUGCAAACAAAUAUUGUUACUGAUCUGUUUGCAAGUCAAGAAUAGACAGCUGACUCCAGUGCCAUCCAGAUACGCCAUACAGAGGAUGGAACAGCGCCACAGGACUACUUUGCUUGCUGAGGCAGGAACGCAAAUCGGUGAUGGCUUUUGUACUAAAUGUUAAGAGAGGGCAUGUCUGCAGGGUGAGACAGGGCGCGCUGACGAGGUUCCCCAGCCUGGCACUGGGCUGAGACGCUGCAUCCCCUGAACGCCAACGGACAGCGUACAGACAUCCUUGCCUGGGCUCCCCAAACGGUUUAACGUACGCUGCACAGCACAAGCACGUCCUCUGUGCACUGAAAGCUCAAAGCAGUUCUGCUUACCAGUGUUACUGUGCUGUGUGUGGUACAUGAGAAUUACUGGUAUUGACUAUGAGUCAAUGUCAUCCCCACCCAUUUUUACCCAUCACAAGGAAUUUUCUGCUAGCUAGAGCCAAGCAAGACAUUUUAGGCCAUUUUCACCUUGUUAGCUGCAAUAGCCUUGAUGAUUUCCUUUGUGAUUUCCUCCUAGCGUAACAGUUCUCCUAGCGUAACUCACUUUCCCAGGCUCCCCAAGCAGGGCACGAACAAAGAUUUUGACUGCAACGGAAGGGGCGAGUCCCGAAAUAUUGCUUCUACUGCUUUGAUUUUGCAAGGAUGAAAAAAAAUAAAAAAAAAAGGUUUACCCACUUUCACUUUGCCUCAACUGACAAUGUCUAAAUCUUUGACACUGAAAUGGGUGCUGCUGCUUGCAGCCGAAGAUGACAAUAUCGUGGUGAGGGUGGAGGAAUCAAGCGCUCAGCGAAUGCGUGGUACAUACCUAAAUGCAGGUGGCCUUCUCUUACACAAGCAGCAGUACUGUUUACCGCGUGAGCGGCUCCGCAGCUACUCCUUCGGCUGGCGUGCUUUCUCUGCCUGAGGAAACGCUCUGCGUACAGACGAGGCCUGCGGAGCCUCGUUGCUGACUCUAAGAGCUCCAGCGACUUGGCUAGGAAGUUGCACUCCAUGAAGCAUGUCCUUAGGGUGUCCUUGAUACGCUGUCUUGAGCGACACGCUUCACCUUUUCACGCUCCACUUCACAGGACCGUUCAUGCAUUGCCCAGCUGAGCCACGCGCUUAGACAGGCUGUCUACCAUACAGUGACACAAGACUACUCAUUUUUCAGCUAUUUAUGAGCAAACUUUCAAGGGUUUCUUUCCUCUUAUGAUGUUGCCUGUACUGAAGAGGAGUUGCUGCUCAGAAGAAUUUCGUAAUCCUGCCAGCAACAAUACUUAUCUAGCACAAACGAGCUCUCCAGUAGAGGAAGUCUUUUGCAGCCUCCCCUGAGUUUUUGCUAACGUAGCUGUGUCUGUCGCGUGUGCUUUUUUUCUCCGAGCUUUUAAUAUAACGAGACUUCCUAAAGUACAGGUGUUCUGCGUAUUAGUAUCUCAUUAGGAAUGUCAAAUAUAAAAUAA